GUCUAUAGCCAUACCACCCUAAAUGUGACCAAUCUCCUCUGAUCUAGGAAGCUAAGCAGGGUUGGGCUUGUUUAGUAAAUUAAUGGGAAAGUGGGUAUAAAUU
ensembl:rRNA 5S_rRNA 5S ribosomal RNA